UUGAUUUGUGGUGCCUUGGCUAGGGGGAGGGUAUAUUUUAAAAUUUCACGUGCUCUGCGUGCCCCGAAGGACCGACCGACUGGUUAGGAAGACGCAAAACUUUUGACAUCGCGCUCUUUUUGACAGUUCGCGGAUAGCAAGAACUGCUAUAGAGUGGUCGACGGAGUGUGUAUAGUGUGUAAAAUUAAUUACACCGCACUUGUUUACAAAGAUAGCGAGAUUUGGUAGAAUACCCAUGAUCGUCGCAAUGAUCCGAUGUCGCGCCGAAAGUCAGUGCCAAAGUCUUUUGCGCAUCUUAGAUGGUUUUUUUUACUGAGUUGAAAUUCUUUAAAAAUAGUACAAUUUCUCGGGAAGAUUUUAUGGAUUUCGAAAUAUCAGUUGAGAUUAGCAUUCUUCAUCUGAAGCAAUGUUUCAUGAAUUGCUUUUUUUGUUCAUCUUUCUCGAGGGAACAGAAAUAAUGUGUCCUUCUUGGUGGCAAUGCUAUUUGCGUCUGAGAGAUUGAGUCUGGGGCGGCUGCAUUGGACUGGAUAAUAUUGAGGAGGGAGACAAAGAAGGAACUUGCCGAGUGACUCACGCCGACUGAAACUUGGAAUUGAACUGAAACGAACAGUUUAAUACUGACAUACUGCAUAGUAACGACCAUGUAAUUCAUUUCCCCUUCACACAAAUUCUUAUGUACCUAGGCGAUAUGUGUACAGACUCGCAAUGUAUAAGGCAUACAUGAAAUAAUAUUCGUAAAAGAGACCAGUCGUCUUUCGUACAAAACAGUAUAUUUCGUGCUACGUCAUCCU